UACGAACCGUACAAACGUUAUUCGGAAUCACUGGGCUUAAAGGGUGCGUAGGCGGCCAUGUAAGUGAGGUGUGAAAUCCCUCGGCUCAACCGAGGAACUGCGCUUCAUACUGCAUGGCUUGAGGGAGACAGGGGUAAGCGGAACUGAUGGUGGAGCGGUGAAAUGCGUUGAUAUCAUUUGGAACGCCGACGGUGAAAACAGCUCGCUGGGAGUGUCCUGACGCUGAGACGCGAAAGCCAGGGGAGCGAACGGG
rnacentral:rRNA from 1 species